CUGGCAAAACACAGAAGAAACAACACACUGUGUUUUCUGAAGUUCUCAUGAAGCCAUGGCAGCAUUUGCCAUCCACCCCUGUGCAGUGGUUUUGUUGGGGCAAGAUUUCCCAUCUCCAGAAGAAGGAACUAAAGCUUCACAUCAGAGAGAAGAAAAAUGUUCCUUCAAGUCUCAAACCACUGCAGAAGAAUAACUGAGCCUGAAAUACCACUUGCCUCUUGUGAAAGCGUUGGCAAAUCCUGGACUCAAGAUCUCUGAAAUCAGCUUUUAUCAUUCUUA